rnacentral:rRNA from 1 species
UGGGGAAUAUUGCACAAUGGGCGCAAGCCUGAUGCAGCCAUGCCGCGUGUGUGAAGAAGGCCUUCGGGUUGUAAAGCACUUUCAGCGAGGAGGAAGGUGGUGAGCUUAAUACGCUCAUCAAUUGACGUUACUCGCAGAAGAAGCACCGGCUAACUCCGUGCCAGCAGCCGCGGUAAUACGGAGGGUGCAAGCGUUAAUCGGAAUUACUGGGCGUAAAGCGCACGCAGGCGGUUUGUUAAGUCAGAUGUGAAAUCCCCGGGCUCAACCUGGGAACUGCAUUUGAAACUGGCAAGCUAGAGUCUCGUAGAGGGGGGUAGAAUUCCAGGUGUAGCGGUGAAAUGCGUAGAGAUCUGGAGGAAUACCGGUGGCGAAGGCGGCCCCCUGGACGAAGACUGACGCUCAGGUGCGAAAGCGUGGGGAGCAAAACAGGAUUAGAUACCCCUGGUAGUCCACGCUGUAAAACGAUGUCGAUUUUGGAGGUUGUGCCCUUGAGGCGUGGCUUCCGGAGCUAACGCGUUAAAUCGACCGCCUGGGGGAGUAC